GUAACAAGGUCUCCGUUGGUGAACCAGCGGAGGGAUCAUUACCGAGUUUACAACUCCCAAACCCCUGUGAACAUACCUUAUGUUGCCUCGGCGGAUCAGCCCGCGCCCCGUAAAAAGGGACGGCCCGCCGCAGGAACCCUAAACUCUGUUUUUAGUGGAACUUCUGAGUAUAAAAAACAAAUAAAUCAAAACUUUCAACAACGGAUCUCUUGGUUCUGGCAUCGAUGAAGAACGCAGCAAAAUGCGAUAAGUAAUGUGAAUUGCAGAAUUCAGUGAAUCAUCGAAUCUUUGAACGCACAUUGCGCCCGCCAGUAUUCUGGCGGGCAUGCCUGUUCGAGCGUCAUUUCAACCCUCAAGCCCAGCUUGGUGUUGGGAGCUGCAGUCCUGCUGCACUCCCCAAAUACAUUGGCGGUCACGUCGAGCUUCCAUAGCGUAGUAAUUUACAUAUCGUUACUGGUAAUCGUCGCGGCCACGCCGUUAAACCCCAACUUCUGAAUGUUGACCUCGGAUCAGGUAGGAAUACCCGCUGAACUUAAGCAUAUCAAUAAGC
rnacentral:rRNA from 1 species